rnacentral:tmRNA from 1 species
GGGGUUGACUGGAUUUGACGGCAAGACGAGAUGGUAUGUAAGCACGCGGAGCCUCGUUGGCUAGCUCCUUAAUCUGAGUGAACAAAAAUUAAUUGGCGAAAACAAUUACGCUCUCGCUGCCUAACCGAAGUACAGUAAGUUACUGGCUUAAUCGCGUCACAAGGUGAUGCGACGAGACAUCGCUCCGCGGAUGUUGUUCCGAAUCCAAAGGUCAAGCGGUGCAGAUUAAAUCGGAAAUAGCACUCCGGUGCCCCGGCCGUAGUGUGAAUUUUUAGGGGAUAAGGCAGUUGUUGGUGGUCCGGGUCUUGCAGCUGCACGAAAACCAAAGGCCGGAAUAAGCGUGUAGAAAGCAUAUUAUUUCCUUGUGCGGACGUGGGUUCGAAUCCCACCAGCUCCACC